rnacentral:rRNA from 1 species
CGUGGGUAACCUACCCAUCAGAGGGGGAUAACACUUGGAAACAGGUGCUAAUACCGCAUAACAGUUUAUGCCGCAUGGCAUAAGAGUGAAAGGCGCUUUCGGGUGUCGCUGAUGGAUGGACCCGCGGUGCAUUAGCUAGUUGGUGAGGUAACGGCUCACCAAGGCCACGAUGCAUAGCCGACCCGAGAGGGUGAUCGGCCACACUGGGACUGAGACACGGCCCAG